GGUUAAGCGACUAAGCGUACACGGUGGAUGCCCUGGCAGUCAGAGGCGAUGAAGGGCGUGCUAAUCUGCGAUAAGCGCCGGUAAGGUGAUAUGAACCGUUAUAACCGGCGAUACCCGAAUGGGGAAACCCAGUGUGACUCGUCACACUAUCAUUAACUGAAUCCAUAGGUUAAUGAGGCGAACCGGGGGAACUGAAACAUCUAAGUACCCCGAGGAAAAGAAAUCAACCGAGAUUCCCCCAGUAGCGGCGAGCGAACGGGGAGGAGCCCAGAGCCUGAAUCAGCAUGUGUGUUAGUGGAAGCGUCUGGAAAGGCGCGCGAUACAGGGUGACAGCCCCGUACACAAAAGCGCAUGUGCUGUGAGCUCGAUGAGUAGGGCGGGACACGUGGUAUCCUGUCUGAAUAUGGGGGGACCAUCCUCCAAGGCUAAAUACUCCUGACUGACCGAUAGUGAACCAGUACCGUGAGGGAAAGGCGAAAAGAACCCCGGCGAGGGGAGUGAAAAAGAACCUGAAACCGUGUACGUACAAGCAGUGGGAGCACAGGUUUACCUGUGUGACUGCGUACCUUUUGUAUAAUGGGUCAGCGACUUAUAUUCUGUAGCAAGGUUAACCGAAUAGGGGAGCCGCAGGGAAACCGAGUCUUAAUUGGGCGUUAAGUUGCAGGGUAUAGACCCGAAACCCGGUGAUCUAGCCAUGGGCAGGUUGAAGGUUGGGUAACACUAACUGGAGGACCGAACCGACUAAUGUUGAAAAAUUAGCGGAUGACCUGUGGCUGGGGGUGAAAGGCCAAUCAAACCGGGAGAUAGCUGGUUCUCCCCGAAAGCUAUUUAGGUAGCGCCUCGUGAAUUCAUCUCCGGGGGUAGAGCACUGUUUCGGCUAGGGGGCCAUCCCGGCUUACCAACCCGAUGCAAACUGCGAAUACCGGAGAAUGUUAUCACGGGAGACACACGGCGGGUGCUAACGUCCGUCGUGAAGAGGGAAACAACCCAGACCGCCAGCUAAGGUCCCAAAGUCAUGGUUAAGUGGGAAACGAUGUGGGAAGGCCCAGACAGCCAGGAUGUUGGCUUAGAAGCAGCCAUCAUUUAAAGAAAGCGUAAUAGCUCACUGGUCGAGUCGGCCUGCGCGGAAGAUGUAACGGGGCUAAACCAUGCACCGAAGCUGCGGCAGCGACACUGUGUGUUGUUGGGUAGGGGAGCGUUCUGUAAGCCUGUGAAGGUGGCCUGUGAGGGUUGCUGGAGGUAUCAGAAGUGCGAAUGCUGACAUAAGUAACGAUAAAGCGGGUGAAAAGCCCGCUCGCCGGAAGACCAAGGGUUCCUGUCCAACGUUAAUCGGGGCAGGGUGAGUCGACCCCUAAGGCGAGGCCGAAAGGCGUAGUCGAUGGGAAACGGGUUAAUAUUCCCGUACUUGGUGUUACUGCGAAGGGGGGACGGAGAAGGCUAUGUUGGCCGGGCGACGGUUGUCCCGGUUUAAGCGUGUAGGUGUGUGUUCCAGGUAAAUCCGGUUCACUUUAACACUGAGGCGUGAUGACGAGGCACUACGGUGCUGAAGCAACAAAUGCCCUGCUUCCAGGAAAAGCCUCUAAGCAUCAGGUAACAUCAAAUCGUACCCCAAACCGACACAGGUGGUCAGGUAGAGAAUACCAAGGCGCUUGAGAGAACUCGGGUGAAGGAACUAGGCAAAAUGGUGCCGUAACUUCGGGAGAAGGCACGCUGACACGUAGGUGAAGUGAUUUACUCACGGAGCUGAAGUCAGUCGAAGAUACCAGCUGGCUGCAACUGUUUAUUAAAAACACAGCACUGUGCAAACACGAAAGUGGACGUAUACGGUGUGACGCCUGCCCGGUGCCGGAAGGUUAAUUGAUGGGGUCAGCGCAAGCGAAGCUCCUGAUCGAAGCCCCGGUAAACGGCGGCCGUAACUAUAACGGUCCUAAGGUAGCGAAAUUCCUUGUCGGGUAAGUUCCGACCUGCACGAAUGGCGUAAUGAUGGCCAGGCUGUCUCCACCCGAGACUCAGUGAAAUUGAACUCGCUGUGAAGAUGCAGUGUACCCGCGGCAAGACGGAAAGACCCCGUGAACCUUUACUAUAGCUUGACACUGAACAUUGAGCCUUGAUGUGUAGGAUAGGUGGGAGGCUUUGAAGUGUGGACGCCAGUCUGCAUGGAGCCGACCUUGAAAUACCACCCUUUAAUGUUUGAUGUUCUAACGUGGACCCGUAAUCCGGGUUGCGGACAGUGUCUGGUGGGUAGUUUGACUGGGGCGGUCUCCUCCUAAAGAGUAACGGAGGAGCACGAAGGUUGGCUAAUCCUGGUCGGACAUCAGGAGGUUAGUGCAAUGGCAUAAGCCAGCUUGACUGCGAGCGUGACGGCGCGAGCAGGUGCGAAAGCAGGUCAUAGUGAUCCGGUGGUUCUGAAUGGAAGGGCCAUCGCUCAACGGAUAAAAGGUACUCCGGGGAUAACAGGCUGAUACCGCCCAAGAGUUCAUAUCGACGGCGGUGUUUGGCACCUCGAUGUCGGCUCAUCACAUCCUGGGGCUGAAGUAGGUCCCAAGGGUAUGGCUGUUCGCCAUUUAAAGUGGUACGCGAGCUGGGUUUAGAACGUCGUGAGACAGUUCGGUCCCUAUCUGCCGUGGGCGCUGGAGAACUGAGGGGGGCUGCUCCUAGUACGAGAGGACCGGAGUGGACGCAUCACUGGUGUUCGGGUUGUCAUGCCAAUGGCACUGCCCGGUAGCUAAAUGCGGAAGAGAUAAGUGCUGAAAGCAUCUAAGCACGAAACUUGCCCCGAGAUGAGUUCUCCCUGAGACUUAGAGUCUCCUGAAGGAACGUUGAAGACGACGACGUUGAUAGGCCGGGUGUGUAAGCGCAGCGAUGCGUUGAGCUAACCGGUACUAAUGAACCGUGAGGCUUAACCUU
rnacentral:rRNA from 2 species